GAUGAACGCUGGCUACAGGCUUAACACAUGCAAGUCGAGGGGAAACGGCAUUGAGUGCUUGCACUGAAUGUACGUCGACCGGCGCACGGGUGAGUAACGCGUAUCCAACCUUCCCGUUACUGCGGGAUAACCUGCCGAAAGGCAGACUAAUACCGCAUGUUCUUCGAUGACGGCAUCAGAUUCGAAGCAAAGAUCCGUCGGUAACGGAGGGGGAUGCGUCUGAUUAGCUAGUUGGCGGGGCGACGGCCCACCAAGGCGACGAUCAGUAGGGGUUCUGAGAGGAAGGUCCCCCACAUUGGAACUGAGACACGGUCCAAACUCCUACGGGAGGCAGCAGUGAGGAAUAUUGGUCAAUGGGCGGAAGCCUGAACCAGCCAAGUAGCGUGCAGGAUGACGGCCCUACGGGUUGUAAACUGCUUUUAUGCGGGGAUAAAGUGAGGGACGCGUCCCUUUUUGCAGGUACCGCAUGAAUAAGGACCGGCUAAUUCCGUG
rnacentral:rRNA from 1 species